CAAAAGCGUAUAUUAAAGUUGUUGCAGUUAAAAAGCUCGUAGUUGAACCUUGGGCUUGGCUGGCCGGUCCAUCUUUUUUGAUGCGUACUGGACCCAGCCGAGCCUUUCCUUCUGGCUAGCCUUUUGGCGGACCAGGACUUUUACUUUGAAAAAAUUAGAGUGUUCAAAGCAGGCCUUUGCUCGAAUAUAUUAGCAUGGAAUAAUAGAAUAGGACGUUAUGGUUCUAUUUUGUUGGUUUCUAGGACCAUCGUAAUGAUUAAUAGGGACGGUCGGGGGUAUCAGUAUUCAGUUGUCAGAGGUGAAAUUCUUGGAUUUACUGAAGACUAACUACUGCGAAAGCAUUUACCAAGGACGUUUUCAUUAA
rnacentral:rRNA from 1 species